UUUUAGAAUCAAACUCUUUAUUUCAUUUUUAUGUAUUUGAUUAAUUUACUCGUAUGGUUGGACUCAAAAUAAAUAUAUAUAGACAUCUUUGUUUUAUUCACCAGGAAGCCUCGAAAGAAAGCAAACGACAGUCCCCCAAAUUGUCGUAGUUAAAAUACGGAGAAGAAACAUGUAAAACAGAAACCAACAACACAAACACCCUUCAACGGGAAAGGGGAGGCAACUGUCUUAGUCUGCGCUUUCCCC
rnacentral:lncRNA from 1 species